ensembl:piRNA 21ur-3512 ncRNA
UUGAUCAUGUAAGUUUCAAAA